rnacentral:rRNA from 1 species
UACGUAGGGUGCAAGCGUUGUCCGGAAUUAUUGGGCGUAAAGAGCUCGUAGGCGGUCUGUUGCGUCGGCUGUGAAAACCCGGGGCUCAACCCCGGGCCUGCAGCCGAUACGAGCAGACUAGAGUUCGGCAGGGGAGACUGGAAUUCCUGGUGUAGCGGUGAAAUGCGCAGAUAUCAGGAGGAACACCGGUGGCGAAGGCGGCUUUCUAGGAUAUACCUGACACUGAGAAGCGACAGCUAGGGGAGCAAACAGG